GGCGGACGGGUUAGUAACGCGUGGGAACGUACCCUUUUCUACGGAAUAGCCUCGGGAAACUGAGAGUAAUACCGUAUACGCCCUUCGGGGGAAAGAUUUAUCGGAGAAGGAUCGGCCCGCGUAAGAUUAGAUAGUUGGUGGGGUAAUGGCCUACCAAGUCUACGAUCCUUAGCUGGUUUGAGAGGAUGAUCAGCAACACUGGGACUGGGACACGGCCCAGACUCCUACGGGAGGCAGCAGUGGGAAUCUUAGACAAUGGGGGAAACCCUGAUCUAGCCAUGCCGCGUGAGUGACGAAGGCCUUAGGGUCGUAAAGCUCUUUCGCUGGGGAAGAUAAUGACUGUACCCAGUAAAGAAACCCCGGCUAACUCCGUGCCAGCAGCCGCGGUAAUACGGAGGGGGUUAGCGUUGUUCGGAAUUACUGGGCGUAAAGCGCGC
rnacentral:rRNA from 1 species